rnacentral:rRNA from 1 species
UACGUAGGGGGCGAGCGUUGUCCGGAUUUAUUGGGCGUAAAGAGCGUGUAGGCGGCCAGGUAGGUCUGCUGUGAAAACUCGAGGCUCAACCUCGAGACGUCGGCGGAAACCAUCUGGCUAGAGUCCGGAAGAGGAGAGUGGAAUUCCUGGUGUAGCGGUGAAAUUCGUAGAUAUUGGGAAGAACACCGGUGGCGAAGGCGGCGCUCUGGACCGAGACUGACGCUGAGGCGCGAAGGCGUGGGGAGCAAACAGG